rnacentral:rRNA from 1 species
AGAUCAAUUUGUCGGUCGUGCCUCGGUACGUACUGGUAUUAUUGGUUUCUACCUUCUGAAGAACCUUGAUGUCAUUAAUUUGGUGUCUUGGGAGAUCAGGACUGUUACUUUGAAAAAUUAGAAGUGUUUAAAGCAAGCAUACGCUUGAAUACAUUAGCAUGGAAUAAUGAAAUAGGACGUUUGAUUCUAUUUUGUUGGUUUCUAGGACCGAAGUAAUGAUUAAUAGGGAUAGUUGGCUGG